CCUACGGGUGGCAGCAGUGGGGAAUAUUGGGCAAUGGGCGCAAGCCUGACCCAGCAACGCCGCGUGAAGGAAGAAGGCCUUCGGGUUGUAAACUUCUUUUGUCAGGGACGAAGAAAGUGACGGUACCUGACGAAUAAGCCACGGCUAACUACGUGCCAGCAGCCGCGGUAAUACGGAGGUGGCAAGCGUUAUACGGAUUUACUGGGUGUAAAGGGCGUGUAGGCGGGAGAGCAAGUCAGACGGGAAAUUGCAGGGCUCAACCCUGGAACUGCGUUUGAAACUGUUCUUCUUGAGUGAUGGAGAGGCAGGCGGAAUUCCGUGUGUAGCGGUGAAAUGCGUAGAUAUACGGAGGAACACCAGUGGCGAAGGCGGCCUGCUGGACAUUAACUGACGCUGAGGCGCGAAAGCGUGGGGAGCAAACAGGAUUAGAUACCCGUGUAGUC
rnacentral:rRNA from 1 species